rnacentral:rRNA from 1 species
UACGAAGGGUGCAAGCGUUAAUCGGAAUUACUGGGCGUAAAGGGUGCGUAGGCGGUUGUUUAAGUCUGUCGUGAAAUCCCCGGGCUCAACCCGGGAACUGCUUGGUAUACUGGUCCUCUUGAGGCAUCUAGGGGCGAGCGGAACAAACGGUGGAGCGGUGAAAUGCGUAGAUAUCGUUUGGAACGCCAACGGAGAAAUCAGCUCGCUGGGGAUGUCCUGACGCUGAGACGCGAAAGCCAGGGGAGCGAACGGG